UUGCUAACCUUCCCAUCUCGGUCCAUUCAUUAACCUCAUCAUUAAUAGGCGACCAGACAGUAGGUUGCACACCUGAGUAUCAGCAACAGAAUUCUCCCAUGAUCAGUUAUUUGAUGCUACAACGAUGGCUUCAGUUAUUGCAGCGCCUCCACUGGCAUAACUUGUAUCGUUAUCAUCAGCUCUUUGCGAUUCCGGAAUUAUCCCCCGACUAAGCUGUCAGGCAGUUGGUUUAACACGGCAGAUAACCUUCCAGGACUAAAAAGAUCUCGAAGAAAGUUUCAGAAUGCAACUGGCGCUGUGGAUCCUGUUCUAUUGUUGCUACAGCUCACGUUUCAUUUAUGCGAUCCAGGGCUGUGAAGAGCAUUCGAUUUUCUUUCCACCAUGGUGAUCGGGAAGUUCUAAAUUACCUGGAUGCUUUAUGAGCCACUUUGUUUCACACAUCAGGUUCGCGGGAUGGAUGCUCGUUCUAUCUGAAGCCAAGUGGCUAUUAUAUCUCCAAAGUUUUUUUCUCGCAGGCUACAAACCCUGCACAAAACAGCAAUUAUCCAAGACGGCUGCUUCAUCUGCUCCUAAAUAUAGGUUUGCCGAGCUAUUGCCGCGCAUCCCCCACACAGCAAGACGUCUUUUAUUUUCAAAAUUAACUACAGCUAAAUCGU
rnacentral:sRNA from 1 species